rnacentral:rRNA from 1 species
AAUUCGAUUGAGUUUGAUCAUGGCUCAGGACGAACGCUGGCGGCGUGCUUAAUACAUGCAAGUCAACUGAACUUGAGGUAGUAAUAUUUCAAGGGAGGUGGCGCACGGGUGAGUAACACGUAGGUAAUCUGCCUUUAGGUCUGAAAUAACUCCGAGAAAUCGGAAUUAAUGUCAGAUGAUGCAGCGGCUCGACAUCGAGACAGUUGUUAAACCUUCGGGGCCUGAAGAUGAGCCUGCGUCUGAUUAGGUAGUUGGCGGAGUAAAAGCCCACCAAGCCUGCGAUCAGUAGCUGGUCUGAGAGGAUGAUCAGCCACACUGGAACUGAGACACGGUCCAGACUCCUACGGGAGGCAGCAGUAAGGAAUAUUGCUCAAUGGCCGAAAGGCUGAAGCAGCAACGCCGCGUGGAGGAUGAAAUACUUUUGUAUGUAAACUCCUGUAAGAGGGGAAAAAUAUCUCAUUAUUUGAGAUUGAUUGUACCUUCAGAGUAAGCACCGGCUAACUACGUGCCAGCAGCCGCGGUAAUACGUAGGGUGCUAGAGUUGUCCGGAUUUACUGGGUGUAAAGGGUGCUCAGGUGGAUUUGUAAGUCAGAGGUGAAAUCCCAAAGCUUAACUUUGGUGCUGCCUUUGAUACUGCAAAUCUUGAGUUUGAGAGAGGAUAAUGGAAUAUCUGGUGUAGCAGUGAAAUGCGUA